AAUUUGCCCUUAGGUGGAGGAUACCCUCGGGAAACUGAGAAUAAUACUCCAUAGAUUUAGAAUGCUGGAAUGCUUUUAAAUUGAAAGAUUUAUCGCCUAAGGAUAAGUCUGCGGACUAUCAGGUUGUAGUCAGGGUAAAUACCUGACUAGCCUACGACGGAUACGGGUUGUGAGAGCACUAGCCCGGAGAUGAUAUCUGAGACACGAUAUCAGGCCCUACGGGGCGCAGCAGGCGCGAAGACUUCGCACUGUGCGAAAGCACGACGAGGGGAUCCCAAGUGCUGGCUCGUAAGAGUCAGCUGUUUCUUUGUCUAAAAAACAGAGAGAGUAAGAGCUGGGUAAGACGGGUGCCAGCCGCCGCGGUAAUACCGGCUGCUCGAGUGAUAGCCACUUUUACUGGGCUUAAAGCGUUCGUAGCUUGGUCGUUAAGUCUCUGGGGAAAUCUUUUGGCUCAACCAAAAGGCGUCUCAGGGAAACUGGCGACCUAGGAACCGGGAGAGGUAAGACGUACUUCGGGGGUAGGAGUGAAAUCUUGUAAUCCCCGAGGGACGACCGAUGGCGAAGGCAUCUUACCAGAACGGCUUCGACAGUGAGGGACGAAAGCUGGGGGAGCAAACCGGAUUAGAUACCCGGGUAGUCCCAGCCGUAAACGAUGUGCGUUAGGUGUGUCAGCGACCACGAGUCGCUGAGGUGCCGAAGGGAAACCGUGAAACGCACCGCCUGAGAAGUACGGUCGCAAGGCUGAAACUUAAAGGAAUUGGCGGGGGAGCACCACAACGGGUGGAGCCUGCGGUUUAAUUGGAUUCAACGCCGGA
rnacentral:rRNA from 1 species